AUUGAACGCUGGCGGCAGGCCUAACACAUGCAAGUCGAGCGAGCGGCAGACGUGUGAGUAAUGUAUGAGAAUCUCCCAGAUAGCGGGGGAUCACUACUGGAAACUGUGUCUACUCCCCCAUAAUAUCAUAUGAACCCAUAGGGGAUUAGCUAGUAUGUGGUGUAAAGGCUCACCUAGGCGACGCUCUCUAGCUGGUCUGAGAGGAUGAUCAGCCACACUGGAACUGAGACACGGUCCAGACUCCUACGGUAGGCAGCAGUGGGGAAUAUUGCACAAUGGGCGCAAGCCUGAUGCAGCCAUGCCGCGUGUAUGAAGAAGGCCUUAGGGUUGUAAAGUACUUUCAGCGGGGAGGCGUUACCCGCAGAAGAAGCACCGGCUAACUCCGUGCCAGCAGCCGCGGUAAUUC
rnacentral:rRNA from 1 species